rnacentral:lncRNA from 1 species
CACUGAGUGUUACAUCCUGCCACUAUUUAUUUUGUAAAAAAAUACUCCCAAGUUGGUUACUUUGUUGGUUGGAGCUCCCUUGAGUGGGUGACUGGUGUUGUUACGAAAUCCACUCCCUUAUGUAAGGGACAUGGUGUGCGGUGCCCUCUUUGUGCUCGUCCUGCAGCUGUCAGGAUUUAUUAUUGCUCCCACUGUGGGGAUGUUGGCAAUGUGUGACACAGGCUUCGGGACACGCUCCUGACACAGGCUUCGGGACACGCUCCUGCCUGUGGCUGCCCUGGAGGGAAGAGACCAGGCAGAUAAGGACAUUGCUGUUUGAGCACCAUCUUCAGAAAGCUGCAAGAGAUUCAGGCAGGCUUGUGUUUCUCUGUCCCAGAGUUUGUGACAGUAUGGAUUUGACAUCAUCACAACAUAAUUAUCUACAAAAUGAACUGGGGCUACUGACAGCUUUUCUUCUUCAGCACUUUCAUGGCUGCACAUCUUUCAAGAUCCUAAAGUAUUGUAAGUAGUUCCCUUUUUAGCAGUCACCAGGAGUAGACAAGGUUUAGGGCAAGUGCAUGUGUUUUGCAGUGGGGUCUAGUUAUGCUCUACAUAACAUGUGUG